ensembl:snoRNA Snord15a small nucleolar RNA SNORD15
CUUCGAUGAAGAGGUGAUGACGAGUCUGACUAGGAGGUGUUGUCUUUGUCCACUGUGCCUCGCUGUGCUGCGUUCUGUGGCACAGCUGUGAGCGCUGCGGUCCAAGAAACGUCCUAAAGAUGACUAGAGGCAUUUGUCUGAGAAGG